GAAGGCAUAGCUCAAUUGGCAGAGCGAUGGUUUUUUAGUCCAGCGGUUUCGGGUUCGAUUCCCGAUGCCUUCA
rnacentral:tRNA from 1 species